rnacentral:rRNA from 1 species
AGAGCGAACGCUGGCGGCAGGCCUAACACAUGCAAGUCGAACGGACCCUUCGGGGUUAGUGGCGGACGGGUGAGUAACACGUGGGAACGUGCCUUUAGGUUCGGAAUAGCUCCUGGAAACGGGUGGUAAUGCCGAAUGUGCCCUUCGGGGGAAAGAUUUAUCGCCUUUAGAGCGGCCCGCGUCUGAUUAGCUUGUUGGUGAGGUAAUGGCUCACCAAGGCUACGAUCAGUAGCUGGUCUGAGAGGAUGACCAGCCACAUUGGGACUGAGACACGGCCCAAACUCCUACGGGAGGCAGCAGUGGGGAAUCUUGCGCAAUGGGCGAAAGCCUGACGCAGCCAUGCCGCGUGUAUGAUGAAGGUCUUAGGAUUGUAAAAUCUUUCACCGGUGAAGAUAAUGACUGUAGCCGGAGAAGAAGCCCCGGAUAACUUCGUGCCAGCAGCCGAC